rnacentral:lncRNA from 1 species
CACUCAGCUCUGCUUUUCAUAGAGUUGCCACUCCUUAAAGUGAAGCCAAAAAUAGGUUUCACGUCCCAAGAUUUUCUCUGCAGUACACAACACCGGCAGACGGACGAAACAUCUUUAUUGGGGGAAAAGGGGGCGCACUUACGGGGAUGAAGGUUGCCUCGCCACUUGGAAAGUUACUGGCUCUCGCCUUAACCCCGAAAUGCCACUGUGAUUGCAACAUGUGGCCCAAAGCAACUAUAACGAAAUGUCGCUGAGGACGUUGCAGAGCCUGGACUCCGGUGUAUUUGCCAAAGUCGAAGGGGAAACAUAAGCUAGGAGCGAUCGGUGAAAACUGGGCAAGCAUCUAAGUGUCAGCUCAGAGGGAGCUUCGGUGACACAAUAAUCACGUGUACUUGUGCGCAGACUUUCGCUCCUAGAACGUGCAGGGGCCGAAACCUGCCGGCGAGAGCAAGCACCGCUGGGCGCUCCCUGCCGGGCAGCUAGGCUCGGUUCCAGCCCGAGGCGGGUCACGCCCCCCGACGCCCAGGCCCGGCGACCUCCGGGGGCGAGGCCGGCACAGGCGGGUGGCGGAAGCGCUGCCGCGCUCCCCGCCCAGGUGGGGCGCUCCCGGCCCGCGCCCAGGCCGCCUCCGGGCGCGCCGUCCGCCCCGCGCGGCCCGCGGCCCGCGGCCCCCGGCCCCAGGCCCGAAGGCGAGCGUCCAUUUACCUGCUCCCGGCUCUCGCCGCCGCGCCGCGCCGCUCCCCCACGCCGCCAGGGGUUCUAUAGGAUUGUUCCUGAGAAGAGCCCCGCCUCAUCUCUUCACCACCUCAAAGCAGAAUUCAGUAACAACUGGAACUGAGAGACAAUUUUCAGCUACCAAGCCACCCCUUUUAUCCAGGCCUUCAGUCAAAUAGCUGCUCUUGAAGAAAAGGAAAAAGAAAGAAUGACACAACUGAGUUUUAUUUGAAAGAAAGCAUGGUUAUAUCGAUUUUUUUUGGUCCAUUUCAGACUGUCAAUAGCUGUAAAAGAGAAACAGUCAGCAGUCAAGCCACUUGUUAGAGAUUCUUCCAUUUUGAUUGGGAGCGAUUUGGAGAAUAUUUAUUUAACAGUUUUUUAUUCAGUGUCUAACUUGGCCUACUGGAACACGCAACAUUCAAGAUCUCUGACUUUGAGGAGUUUGCAGUCUAGUGAGACAGACAGACAAGUAACCUGGGAACUUUGAGCAUAAGUCUCUGGACUAUUCAUAUUCAUUGUAUAGCAGGCAUUCUUUAACAUUUGGACAUUUUUUUCAUCUUUCCACGGAACAAAAUUGGCUCACUCCUGUAAUAAUCUCUGCUCUGUGUUUGAGGUGGAAAAUAUCAGCAAGGAAUCCUAACAGUCAAUUCUCCAGUUAAGUAUAGGCUGCAGUGGUUAGUGAGCAGUUUCAAUACUGAGCACAAAUGUCACCUGUUCUACACCCGUUUUUCCCAUCCACCAUCUUCUUUGUAUGCACAGCAAACAGAUUUCUAUUAUAGGAAAUACGCUUUUUUACGCAUAUUUGUUUACCUGUCUCCUAGACCACCAAAUCAAGGGCCACUUCUCAUUUGUGUAUCUGGCAAUCUACUUCUCAUUUGUCUUUGUAUAUCCAGCGAUCUAGCAUAAUGUCUAAUGAUUAGAAGAAAGGUAUUCCAUGUUUCUUAAACUGAAUACAGUUACCUUUAUAUCAUUUUGUGUCUCAUGUCUCUUUCUGCUGGAAACUUCAGAUGAGCCUCUGAGAGUUUCCAUUAUAUAUCUACAUGUCCCAUCUGUCUUACCUAAUCCAAUAUUCAAUAUUAAACAGAUUUAUAAUAAUAAUAGAAACUAAUAUUUAUUGAGCACUUACCAUGUGCCUGGCAUUGGGCUAAGUAUUUUAAAUCCAUUAUCUAAUUUGUCAUC